CUCACCCAUCAAAAUCUCUCAGCCUCCCACUCCACUCAACCCCUCUCUCUGCCUUGCAACCUCGGCGUCUCCGCUUGUCCUCCUCUGCAUCUCCAACACUAUGCCUCGAGAAAUAUCGGUUGAAGGUACUUAUAGACACCGGUGGAAGAGAAGUGGGUCGGGGCCACCAUCCGCGCCAGUGACUCCUUUUUUCUAGCGGUGUUAAGACUGGAGGGUAAAAUUCUUGCCGGUCGAAGCGGAGGACAUCCGGGCAGCCUUCUUCCUAGCGAGAUUACUGGAGCAAAGAACACGUACCUCUUCGCCGUCUUCAUGGAAGAUAACUUCUUUGCCCGUUAUUUUAGACGAACCCUUUUUUUUUCCAUUACAAAUCCUGUACGAAUGACCCUUACCUUCAUGGCACUCCUGUUCUUGAAGGUUGAUAACGCAUUCACAAGGCAGUAAAGACCCAUAUAGUUCCCAACCUUCAUAAGUGCGAAUGCAUCUGAACUUCAAUGUGCACGUCGUUCUCAUUGGUGAUAUCUGACUGGCCAAGAUGUACAUUGGAGUCAUUUUGAAACUCUACUUUGCAGUCAACGUGUUUGUAUUGAUAUAUAAUUCUAGUGGCAUACUUGAUCUAAAAUUAGAGUCCUUUUAUAGGCAAGGAUUUAGAGUCCUAUUAAUGAAUCUAAAUGAAUUGAAACUAUAAAUGCAGACGUUCGGAUAA